rnacentral:lncRNA from 1 species
UCUGGAUUGUAAUGUGAAUCUUUAGGGUAAUUCCUCCAGUGACCUGUCAAGGCUUAUGCUAACAAACAGGAGACUUGCAGGAGACCGUGUGAUUUGUGUAGUGAGCCUUUGAGAAUGGUUAGUACCGAGUUCAGUUUAGUUCUUAGUAUCUUUUCAAUCAAGCUGUGUGCUUAAUUUACUCUGUUGUAAAGGGAUAAAGUGGAAAUCAUUUUUUUCCGUGGAGUGGUGAUUCUGCUAACAUUUGUAUCUACAUUUUAUAACUUGGUGAGUGACAAUGAGAGCCCUGCACCUGUCCAGAGCGUCACAGGCAAAAGGCAUCAGGAAGCAGGAGCAGCAUCUUCCUGGCAGCCAGGCUGGGCGUCUUCUCCUGGACACCUGCUGUGUACCAGGAACUUCGUCACCUCCUUGAAUGCUGGCGGUUCACUUCAUGAUCGGUGUUAAGCAUUUUCCUCCAUGGGAAGGAAGCAUGGGAUAUAAAAAAGCUAAGGGCUGUCCUUUACAAAUUCUGGUUCUGCAACUGCCUAGCGUGACUUUGGGCUUGGGCAAGUUUCUUCGCCGUUCUGAGCCUUCAUUUCCUCAUCUGCACAAUGAGAUUAAUAGUACCUAGCUACCUUCAGGAUUGCUGACAGAAUUUGAAAUAAAAUAUGCAAGUUAGCUAAUACAAAGUAGAUAAUCCAAAAAUGGUAGCCACUCACCCUUCGCCAACUGAAGUCCAUGGACCACGGAAGUCGAGAAUUAAUGUACACCUGUAUCAUGUGUAGGAAACCAGAAAUGUGUUCCUUAUUUCUUGUUCCCAAACAGGAUUAACUGUGAAGACUAAUUUAUAAAUGUGAACCUAAGAAAACUCCAGCUCUGAAGGAAAUCAUUUGAAUUUUGUUUUUGUACGUAAAGUUAACCUUCCAGUUGUCUGAGCUGUCGUCACUGACUUCAUGACAGUCUGGCCCUCCAGAAAAGAGCAGCGUUGGCAUCGGGCAGGUGAUUCCUGACACCUGCUGCCUGCAGGCAUUCACUGACCAGGCCUUUCCUGGAGGAAACACCCAGGGCCAGGCGGCUGCUGUUUCCGCGCGUGGACUCGGAUCUGCUGUGACACCGUCGGCCCGACAGUCUCUCCACAUGCAGCCUUUCCUCUGUACUUUUCUCCAAAGUUGAAAUAAAACAGGGUGACUGGGAGUUACUUAGAAUUCAUGAAGAUUUUAAAAUGGCUUUGGAGAUUCUGCUUUUAAACCAGUAGAUCCAAAACUUAAACAGCGUCUGCAGCACAAUUUCUUGAGGAACCUUGAAAAACACAACUUCCCAGGCCCCAUUCAGUAAUCCCAGGAUUUCUUUAAGCUCCUCAAAUAAUUUUGAUAACUCAUCAGCCGAGUUUCUGCCCUCAUGAGGUAAUUCCAUUUUUCUCCCCAGCCUGCUCCUGGCAGCUGUAACACAGGAGCUGGCCUGAGAGCACAUUCACCCUGGAAUGUUCUCUCCACAGAACAAUCAAGUCCCUGUCGCCUGCCUAGUGCUUACCACUGAAGAUUUUUCUGAUUCCAGACCAACUUUUUGCCAAUAUUCUGCUUCCAGCUCUCUGAGCCCCUGCCGUGUCUCCCCAACACUGCCAGCCCCAGCACGCAAUCAACCUACUUUGUGCAUGCCAUCCGCUUUCCACACUGUGAGAACAACCUGCCCAAUUGGACCCUCUGGAGGCGCAUGAUCUCAGCCACUCACCAGGCCUGAGUGUUUGUGAAAUGAUCAUGUGCUACUUACUACAAAACCGUAACCCCAAAACAUUCCUUUUAUUUGUGUGAAGCCGGCCAAAGUGAGGUCCACCCACCUUCACACAGCUCUGGCGGUGCACCUGCUCACCUUCUCUUGGUUCUCAGAACUGAGCUGGGCUUGAGAACU